UACAGAGGUCUCAAGCGUUGUUCGGAUUCAUUGGGCGUAAAGGGCGCGUAGGCGGCGGGGUAAGUCGGGUGUGAAAUCUCAGGGCUCAACCCUGAAACUGCACUCGAUACUGCUCUGCUUGAGGACUGGAGAGGAGACUGGAAUUCACGGUGUAGCAGUGAAAUGCGUAGAGAUCGUGAGGAAGACCAGUGGCGAAGGCGGGUCUCUGGACAGUUCCUGACGCUGAGGCACGAAGGCCAGGGGAGCAAACGGG
rnacentral:rRNA from 1 species